CGGGGCUUAAAGUCUUGUAAUUGGAAUGAUGGGAAUUUAAACCUCUUCCAGAGUAUCAAUUGGAGGGCAAGUCUGGUGCCAGCAGCCGCGGUAAUUCCAGCUCCAAUAGCGUAUAUUAAAAUUGUUGCAGUUAAAAAGCUCGUAGUUGAAUUUCUGCUGCAUUGCUUGUGCCCCUCUGGGGUCUGUGCAUGUGGCUUUUUUCGGACGGAGUUUCUUUGUCUGAAUGUUUACUUUGAGAAAAUUAGAGUGCUCAAAGCAGGCUUUCGCCUUGAAUAGUUUAGCAUGGAAUAAUAAAGUAGGACUUUGGUUCUAUUUUGUUGGUUUUAGGUACCAAAGUAAUGGUUAAUAGGAACAGUUGGGGGCAUUCGUAUUUAACUGUCAGAGGUGAAAUUCUUAGAUUUGUUAAAGACGAACUACUGCGAAAGCAUUUGCCAAGGAUGUUUUCAUUAAUCAAGAAC
rnacentral:rRNA from 1 species